CAAUGAUAACAGUCACACUAUGAUAACCAUAAUGCUACUACAAGGUAAAACGUUUUGCGUUUAUCUGGUUGAGAUGGAGUAGCUCCAGCCCAAGCUUGUCUGUAACUAGCAUUCAGUGGGAUAUAUAUUUAUUUUCUGUGAUAACACUUGCAGUGACCUCCAAACAAGAGUCAAAAUAUUGUUCUCCUGCACGUAGGAGGCCAAGUCUUCUUCCCUGAGCACUGCGCAGGGUGCAUGUGGCUCAGUAACAUUCAUGCAUUUUACACUGGUAAUAGCAGAGUUUUGUUUCCCCACCGUGCUCAGAAAAGAGCUGAAGUGCAGCCGCCUCUGGGUCGGAGAGGACUGACGUGCUAGGGCACAGCCCAGCCUGGAGGAAGAGAUCUGUCUGGUCUAAGGGCAUUGCAGAAGAAAACCCCAUGCAAAAUGGUCCCACAGGGCCAUGCAGGGAGAUCCAAAUGCUGAUCAAGGGAGGCUCUGACAGGUCCCUUAGCUGAGGAGUGCCAAGGUCUUGGGAGCUGUGCUAAUUUACAUGAGCUGAAGAUGUGACUACAUAUCUCCCAGAUGCUCCUUCUGCAAGGAACUGGAAAGAAGAAAAUCUCAACUUCAAGAUUGCACUCUACUUAGUUCACAUCACUGCAGAAUCUUUGACACAAAGAGGUGAAAUAGAAGGGUGCAGGAGUGGGAUGCUGGCACAGAUCCCCAUGCCCAAGGAAUGGUAUCUGUGCAGAGGAACCCGCAAGACUGUGAGGCUGAGAGUGCCCAGUUCAGCAGUGAGCAAGUAGAUGACAGGGAUUCAACCUUCCUAUCACUUCCAGAUUUUUGUGGAGUGAGGACUUUCAAGAGUGCUCUGCUGGAAGUGCAGAAAAGAGGGAACUGAAGAGAAAACCUCUCUGCAGAAGGACAGUGGCUCAGAGCAGCCAGCCAGGAACGCAGAGAUCUCAUCACAGUCCAUGUCCCUGUAAAUGCAUUUUACAUUAACCUAUUUCUAGCUCGGGUGUAUUCUGAAAUAAAAGGGCAGUGCAAAUGUUCUUUUUGAGAAGAUCCUCUUUAGUAUCUGAGGUCACAUACAUUCUGGGAGCAGCCACUGGUAUGUGAAGCAGGAUCCUGCUUGCUGGAUCUCCCUCCCUAUGAGCACAGGCUGCAAGAGAAGUCAUGAGCUGCUUUACUUUAUGUACUUAAAACUUCUGGGUGCAAAAAAGGCCAGAUUCUGGAAACACUAUGGUAAAUAAAUAAAGAAGGGAAAAAAAAAAAAAAUAUCAAGCUUCAGAGUUUAGUGGCCUCCAGUGCUAGGUGGCAACUCAGCAGGGAUUUUUCAGGUAUUGAUUCAGUCACAAAACUCACAUUUUUGGUUCUUACUGUUCUUUUUCAGAUUUAAUAUCAGACACCUGAAAAUUCAGGCACCCUUGCAGUCACAUAGAGCACAGCUGGGUGCCUCAUACAUCUUGUUCAAAGUCACCUAAGUCCAUGCCAGAGCUAGAAAUUAAAUGUUAUGGUGGAAUCCCACCUGUGGUCCUGAGCCUUA